rnacentral:rRNA from 1 species
AAUCUAAUCACUAAAACUCAUAUGAUAAAUAUAAAAUUAUUGAGGUAAAUUUAAUUUUUAGAAUUGACAUUAUCAUUGUUAAAGUUAAUAAUUAAAACAAGGAUUAGAUACCCUUUUAUUAUUAAUCAAUAUAGAGUUUGGAGAGUACAGGCACUAAGCCUCAAAACCAAAGAAUAUGGCGGUAUCUUAUUCUAUCAGGGGAACCUGUUCCUUAAUAUGAUAGUCCACGAUUGCAAAGCCUAAGUUUGAAACAUUCAGCUUGUGUACUGCCGAAUUAUAGACUUCUAAAGAUUUGUCUAUAAAAUUAUUUAUAUUAAAUAAAAAGUCAGGUCAAAGUGCAGCUUAUAUUUAGGUGAGAAUGGGUUACAAUUAUAUUUAAGAUUCAAAUUAAUAUAUUCAUUUAAUAUAUUGAUGAGGAGGAUUUGAAAGUAAUUAAAUUUCAUAAAUUUAAUGAAAGUUGAUUCUAAGAUGUGCACAAAUCGCCCGUCACUCCUUUAUAUAGG